GACGAACCGCGCGAACGUUGUUCGGAUUCACUGGGCUUAAAGGGCGCGUAGGCGGACGGUCAAGUCAGGGGUGAAAUCUUUCAGCUCAACUGGAAAAGUGCCUCUGAUACUGAUCGUCUCGAGGGAGGUAGGGGCAUGUGGAACUUCCGGUGGAGCGGUGAAAUGCGUAGAUAUCGGAAGGAACGCCGGUGGCGAAAGCGACGUGCUGGACCUCUUCUGACGCUGAGGCGCGAAAGCUAGGGGAGCAAACGGG
rnacentral:rRNA from 1 species